rnacentral:lncRNA from 1 species
CUGGGGUCACAGGCUCACCCCUGAACCAACUGCUAUGAACCCCAGAAGAAGGGAGAUUGGAAUAAAUCUGUAAAAAUCAGUCACUGCUACAGUCCACUCGGGAACUUAGCCAACAUCACCAGGAGUGAAGACAGUGCCGAUGAGGGGAAUGAGAAGUGUUUCCCUUUGAGCACCGAGUCCUUCCAGAGACUGACCAAGGUGGGGGAAGAGUCGGGGUCUCGGGACACAAAUCUCCAACACGGGCACUCGCACGUAAAGCAGGAAGAAACUUUUGCUUCUUCGUAACCUGAAGAAAGGUUGCCCGUUGUGUUGUAGAAAAUCAGCUGCUGCCUGAGUCCCUUCCAAGGCUGAAAUCCCCACAUCUACAAGACUUUCCUCCAGUUGCUUCCAUUGAGACAUUACCCAUUUGUUCCUGUCCAUGUGCCUUCUGGCCUGAAGAUGUACCAAGGAAACGUAUAGCCUUCUGACAAGAUCGCUUUCUCUGUUUGUACAAAUGUGUUAGGUAUAUUAUUGUGACCUGAAGGUAUAACCGUGGAGUAUGUGUC